CUACGUGCCAGCAGCCGCGGUAAUACGGAGGGUGCGAGCGUUAAUCGGAAUAACUGGGCGUAAAGGGCACGCAGGCGGUGACUUAAGUGAGGUGUGAAAGCCCCGGGCUUAACCUGGGAAUUGCAUUUCAUACUGGGUCGCUAGAGUACUUUAGGGAGGGGUAGAAUUCCACGUGUAGCGGUGAAAUGCGUAGAGAUGUGGAGGAAUACCGAAGGCGAAGGCAGCCCCUUGGGAAUGUACUGACGCUCAUGUGCGAAAGCGUGGGGAGCAAACAGGAUUAGAUACCCUGGUAGUCCACGCUGUAAACGAUGUCGAUUUGGGGGUUGAACUUUGAGUUUGGCGCCCGUAGCUAACGUGAUAAAUCGACCGCCUGGGGAGUACGGCCGCAAGGUUAAAACUCAAAUGAAUUGACGGGGGCCCGCACAAGCGGUGGAGCAUGUGGUUUAAUUCGAUGCAACGCGAAGAACCUUACCUACUCUUGACA
rnacentral:rRNA from 1 species